rnacentral:rRNA from 1 species
UACGGAGGGUGCAAGCGUUGUUCGGAAUUACUGGGCGUAAAGGGUUCGUAGGUGGCUUACUAAGUCAGACGUGAAAUCCCUCAGCUUAACUGGGGAACUGCGUCUGAUACUGGAAAGCUUGAGUGCAGGAGAGGAACGCGGAAUUCCAGGUGUAGCGGUGAAAUGCGUAGAUAUCUGGAGGAACACCGGUGGCGAAGGCGGCGUUCUGGACUGCAACUGACACUGAGGAACGAAAGCCAGGGGAGCAAACGGG